rnacentral:rRNA from 1 species
AUGACAGGAUCCAACUCGAGUGUACAUGGACAUCAACAUGUGGAAGAUGAUCUCCCAAAAACUCGCGCAUCACUUGAUGAUAUGAUUGAGGAGAGUAUAGUUUCAGCUAUGCGAAGGAUGUUUGGUGGUCGUCUUCCUAUCACGGGUAAUGGGGAUCAACAUCAACACAGCCCGCUGCCUCGCUGGCCACCGACAACCAGCAACGUCAAGGAAACGACGAUCACCAUUUUGGUCGUGGAAGAGCGGCAGGAGCUGCUGCCCACGACACCCCUGCUGUUGGUGCUGAACGGAGGCGUGGCGACUUUGCUACCCCCCAUGAGGGUGCGCUGCAUGGAGGACAUGCUUGCUAGCGAGGCCAUGACCCCCACGGGUUUGUUACUGAUUACCGGCGAUGAGCGGCACAUGAUGGUGAUGCCAUCUUCCUUGAAGAUCUCUCCGAGCAUGGUGACGAAGAUGAAGGCAUGGGGGACUAUGAACCCUACUCCCCGCCUCACCGUGGUGCUAUUUUUGGUUGCAAUGGUCAUCAUUACGAACGUCGUGAUCAGGAUGACCAUGACAACCAAGCGAGAGUGA